rnacentral:rRNA from 1 species
UGGCGGACGGGUGAGUAACGCGUGGGUAACCUGCCUCAUACAGGGGGAUAACAGUUGGAAACGGCUGCUAAAACCGCAUAAGCAUACAUUGCCGCAUGGCAGAGUGUGAAAAUAUUUAUAGGUAUGAGAUGGACCCGCGUCUGAUUAGCUAGUUGGUAGGGUAACGGCCUACCAAGGCGACGAUCAGUAGCCGGCUUGAGAGAGUGACCGGCCACAUUGGGACUGAGACACGGCCCAAACUCCUACGGGAGGCAGCAGUGGGGAAUAUUGCACAAUGGGGGAAACCCUGAUGCAGCGACGCCGCGUGAGUGAAGAAGUAUUUCGGUAUGUAAAGCUCUAUCAGCAGGGAAGAAAAUGACGGUACCUGACUAAGAAGCCCCGGCUAACUACGUGCCAGCAGCCGCGGUAAUACGUAGGGGGCAAGCGUUAUCCGGAUUUACUGGGUGUAAAGGGAGCGUAGGUGGUUCGGUAAGUCAGAUGUGAAAGCCCGGGGCUCAACCCCGGGACUGCAUUUGAAACUAUCGAACUAGAGUGCAGGAGAGGUAAGUGGAAUUCCUAGUGUAGCGGUGAAAUGCGUAGAUAUUAGGAGGAACACCAGUGGCGAGGGCGGCUUACUGGACUGUAACUGACACUGAGGCUCGAAAGCGUGGGGAGCAAACAGGAUUAGAUACCCUGGUAGUCCACGCCGUAAACGAUGCGAACUAGGUGUUGGGGAAGGAGACUUCUUUAGUACCGUAGCUAACGCA